rnacentral:rRNA from 1 species
GGGAGCGGGCGCCGCUGCUUACACAUGCAAGUCGAACGGUGAAGCAGAGCUUGCUCUGUGGAUCAGUGGCGAACGGGUGAGUAACACGUGAGCAAUCUGCCCCUGACUCUGGGAUAAGCGCUGGAAACGGCGUCUAAUACCGGAUACGAGCUGCGACCGCAUGGUCAGUAGCUGGAAAGAAUUUCGGUCAGGGAUGAGCUCGCGGCCUAUCAGCUUGUUGGUGAGGUAAUGGCUCACCAAGGCGUCGACGGGUAGCCGGCCUGAGAGGGUGACCGGCCACACUGGGACUGAGACACGGCCCAGACUCCUACGGGAGGCAGCAGUGGGGAAUAUUGCACAAUGGGCGCAAGCCUGAUGCAGCAACGCCGCGUGAGGGAUGACGGCCUUCGGGUUGUAAACCUCUUUUAGCAGGGAAGAAGCGAAAGUGACGGUACCUGCAGAAAAAGCGCCGGCUAACUACGUGCCAGCAGCCGCGGUAAUACGUAGGGCGCAAGCGUUAUCCGGAAUUAUUGGGCGUAAAGAGCUCGUAGGCGGUCUGUCGCGUCUGCUGUGAAAACCCGAGGCUCAACCUCGGGCCUGCAGUGGGUACGGGCAGACUAGAGUGCGGUAGGGGAGAUUGGAAUUCCUGGUGUAGCGGUGGAAUGCGCAGAUAUCAGGAGGAACACCGAUGGCGAAGGCAGAUCUCUGGGCCGUAACUGACGCUGAGGAGCGAAAGGGUGGGGAGCAAACAGGCUUAGAUACCCUGGUAGUCCACCCCGUAAACGUUGGGAACUAGUUGUGGGAUCCAUUCCACGGAUUCCGUGACGCAGCUAACGCAUUAAGUUCCCCGCCUGGGGAGUACGGCCGCAAGGCUAAAACUCAAAGGAAUUGACGGGGACCCGCACAAGCGGCGGAGCAUGCGGAUUAAUUCGAUGCAACGCGAAGAACCUUACCAAGGCUUGACAUAUAGAGGAAACGUCUGGAAACAGUCGCCCCGCAAGGUCUCUAUACAGGUGGUGCAUGGUUGUCGUCAGCUCGUGUCGUGAGAUGUUGGGUUAAGUCCCGCAACGAGCGCAACCCUCGUUCUAUGUUGCCAGCACGUAAUGGUGGGAACUCAUGGGAUACUGCCGGGGUCAACUCGGAGGAAGGUGGGGAUGACGUCAAAUCAUCAUGCCCCUUAUGUCUUGGGCUUCACGCAUGCUACAAUGGCCGGUACAAAGGGCUGCAAUACCGUGAGGUGGAGCGAAUCCCAAAAAGCCGGUCCCAGUUCGGAUUGAGGUCUGCAACUCGACCUCAUGAAGUCGGAGUCGCUAGUAAUCGCAGAUCAGCAACGCUGCGGUGAAUACGUUCCCGGGUCUUGUACACACCGCCCGUCAAGUCAUGAAAGUCGGUAACACCUGAAGCCGGUGGCCCAACCCUUGUGGAGGGAGCCGUCGAAGGUGGAUUCCAUUUUCC